rnacentral:ncRNA from 1 species
UUAUGCAGAUUUGAUUCUGGUUUCUAUCAUGAGGUGAUCUUUGAUGAUACAUGCUAGUCGUGCGUUCUAGUGAGGGAAGAGUGCAUUUAAAGUUUAACAUUAAAUGUGCAUUAAGGCUUAAGAUUGGUUAUUUGUUUUGUGUAUUCCACUCCAUAAUGGUUAUAGCAGUACUUAAUAUUGUGUGAGGCGUGCAAGCGUGCUCCAGCAGAGGUUAAAAGAAAAUGUUAUACGUGGCAAAGAUUGUGCCAGCCGCCGCGGUUAUACCUGAACGUAGUCUUAUGAUACAUAUAAGUGUGAGUUAAAGGUCAAAGCUUGAAGAUGAUAGGUAAUUAAAAUCGCUUAAGAGGUGUGGUCGCAUACAUUUCUCUUUAGGAGAUUUCAAUUUUGUAAAUUACAUGAAAUAAAGAACUAAACCAGGAUUAGAGACCCUGCUAUACUUUAUUAGUUAACAUUUGGUAAGUAUAAAUGUUGUUUGAAAACCAAAGAUUUUGGCAGUGAAUAAGAUCUAGUCAGAGGAGUUUGUUUUGUAAAAUCGAUAAUCCGCGAGAAUCUCACUUUAAUUUGUUAUUCAGCUUAUAUACCGCCGUCGUCAGCUAAUACUGGAAAGGGUUAGAAAUUAGCUAGAAGAAUGAGUUCUUUACGUCAGGUCAGGGUGUAGCUUAUAUUAAAGGUCAGGAUGAAUUACAGUUAUUGUUAAAUAUCAGAUACUAGUGGUGAAAUCUCUAGUUGAAGUUGGAUUUGAUAGUAAUCAAUCAUUAUUGUGGUUUGUUGAUUAUAGCUCUUAUUUAUGCACACACCGCCCGUCAUUUUCCUGAAUAGAUAAGGGAAAAAAGUCGUAACAAGGUAGGGCAUCUGGAAAGAUCCCCUGGGUAAUUAG